AGGACGAACGCUGGCGGCGUGCCUAAAACAUGCAAGUCGAACGGGGUCCAUCCUUCGGGAGAAGACCUAGUGGCGAACGGGUGAGUAACACGUGAGCAAUCUGCCUCAGAGUUCGGGAUAAGCCAGGGAAACUUGGUCUAAUACCGGAUGCCCUUGUCGAGUCUUAUGUCUUGACAAGGAAAGUUUUUCGCUUUGAGAGGAGCUCGCGUCCUAUCAGCUUGUUGGUGGGGUAAUGGCCUACCAAGGCUUCGACGGGUAGCUGGU
rnacentral:rRNA from 1 species